UUAAACCCUUUUUAAAGUAUCAAUUGGAGGGCAAGUCUGGUGCCAGCAGCCGCGGUAAUUCCAGCUCCAAUAGCGUAUAUUAAAAUUGUUGCAGUUAAAAAGCUCGUAGUUGAAGUUCUGCUAAAAGUAACCGGUCUGCU
rnacentral:rRNA from 1 species